AGCAGCCGCGGUAAUUCCAGCUCCAAUAGCGUAUAUUAAAGUUGUUGCAGUUAAAAAGCUCGUAGUUGAAUUUCGGGAUUGACGUGACGGUCAUGCCUUAAGGGGUAUGAACUGUUACUGUUGAUUUCUCACCUUCUGGAGAAACUUGAUGUCCUUUAUUGGGUGUCUUGCGGAUCCAGGACCUUUACCUUGAAAAAAUUAGAGUGUUUAAAGCAGGCAUUUUUGCUCGAAUACAUUAGCAUGGAAUAAUAGAAUAGGACGGCAUGGUUCUAUUUUGUUGGUUUCUAGGAUCACCGUAAUGAUUAAUAGGGAUAGUUGGGGGCAUUAGUAUUCAAUUGUCAGAGGUGAAAUUCUUGGAUUUAUUGAAGACUAACUACUGCGAAAGCAUUUGCCAAGGAUGUUUUCAUUAAUCAAGAACGAAAGUUAGGGGAUCGAAGACGAUCAGAUACCGUCGUAGUCUUAACCAUAAACUAUGCCGACUAGGAAUCAGACGAUGUUGAUUUUUAAUGACUCGUUUGG
rnacentral:rRNA from 1 species